GACGAAUCAUCUGGAAAGAUGAAUCAAAGAAGGUAAUAAUCCUGUAGUCGAAAAUGUUGUCUCUCUUGAGUGGAUCCUGAGUACGACGGAGCACGUGAAAUUCCGUCGGAAUCUGGGAGGACCAUCUCCUAAGGCUAAAUACUCUCUAGUGACCGAUAGUGAACCAGUACCGUGAGGGAAAGGUGAAAAGCACCCCGGAAGGGGAGUGAAAUAGAACCUGAAACCGUGUGCUUACAAGUAGUCAGAGCCCGUUAAUGGGUGAUGGCGUGCCUUUUGUAGAAUGAACCGGCGAGUUACGAUUUGAUGCAAGGUUAAGCAGUAAAUGUGGAGCCGUAGCGAAAGCGAGUCUGAAUAGGGCGUUUAGUAUUUGGUCGUAGACCCGAAACCAGGUGAUCUACCCUUGGUCAGGUUGAAGUUCAGGUAACACUGAAUGGAGGACCGAACCGACUUACGUUGAAAAGUGAGCGGAUGAACUGAGGGUAGCGGAGAAAUUCCAAUCGAACCUGGAGAUAGCUGGUUCUCUCCGAAAUAGCUUUAGGGCUAGCCUCAAGUGAUGAUUAUUGGAGGUAGAGCACUGUUUGGACGAGGGGCCCCUCUCGGGUUACCGAAUUCAGACAAACUCCGAAUGCCAAUUAAUUUAACUUGGGAGUCAGAACAUGGGUGAUAAGGUCCGUGUUCGAAAGGGAAACAGCCCAGACCACCAGCUAAGGUCCCAAAAUAUAUGUUAAGUGGAAAAGGAUGUGGCGUUGCCCAGACAACUAGGAUGUUGGCUUAGAAGCAGCCAUCAUUUAAAGAGUGCGUAAUAGCUCACUAGUCGAGUGACACUGCGCCGAAAAUGUACCGGGGCUAAACAUAUUACCGAAGCUGUGGAUUGUCCUUUGGACAAUG
rnacentral:rRNA from 1 species